GACGUAGGGCGCGAGCGUUGUCCGGAUUUAUUGGGCGUAAAGAGCGUGUAGGCGGCUUGACAAGUCUGCUGUGAAAACUCGAGGCUCAACCUCGAGCUGUCGGCGGAAACUGUCAGGCUAGAGUCCGGAAGAGGAGAGUGGAAUUCCUGGUGUAGCGGCGAAAUGCGCAGAUAUCAGGAAGAACACCUAUGGCGAAGGCAGCUCUCUGGGACGGUACUGACGCUGAGGCGCGAAAGCGUGGGGAGCAAACAGG
rnacentral:rRNA from 1 species